UACGUAGGGUGCGAGCGUUGUCCGGAAUUAUUGGGCGUAAAGAGCUCGUAGGCGGUUUGUUGCGUCGGCCGUGAAAACCUGCAGCUUAACUGUGGGCCUGCGGCCGAUACGGGCAGACUUGAGUUCGGUAGGGGAGACUGGAAUUCCUGGUGUAGCGGUGAAAUGCGCAGAUAUCAGGAGGAACACCAGCGGCGAAGGCGGCGCUCUGGGCCGGAACUGACGCUGAGGAGCGAAAGCGUGGGUAGCAAACAGG
rnacentral:rRNA from 1 species